ACGGGUGAGUAACACGUAUCCAACCUGCCGAUGACUCGGGGAUAGCCUUUCGAAAGAAAGAUUAAUACCCGAUGGCAUAGUUCUUCCGCAUGGUAGAACUAUUAAAGAAUUUCGGUCAUCGAUGGGGAUGCGUUCCAUUAGGUUGUUGGCGGGGUAACGGCCCACCAAGCCUUCGAUGGAUAGGGGUUCUGAGAGGAAGGUCCCCCACAUUGGAACUGAGACACGGUCCAAACUCCUACGGGAGGCAGCAUG
rnacentral:rRNA from 1 species